GAGGGCACGCCUGCCUGGGUGUCAC
rnacentral:rRNA from 1 species